ACGGGGAAGGAUGAGAAGCUUCGACUAAGGUUCGAUUCGAGCGAAAGCGAGAAAGCGUUGCCAACGGCAACGACCCGAAGGGCGAAGCGCGCAGCGCUGAGUAAUCCUUCCCCCGUCAUCC
rnacentral:sRNA from 1 species